rnacentral:rRNA from 1 species
GACGAACGCUGGCGGCGUGCCUAAUACAUGCAAGUUGAGCGCUGAAGGUUGGUACUUGUACCAACUGGAUGAGCAGCGAACGGGUGAGUAACGCGUGGGGAAUCUGCCUUUGAGCGGGGGACAACAUUUGGAAACGAAUGCUAAUACCGCAUAAAAACUUUAAACACAAGUUUUAAGUUUGAAAGAUGCAAUUGCAUCACUCAAAGAUGAUCCCGCGUUGUAUUAGGUAGUUGGUGAGGUAAAGGCUCACCAAGGCGAUGAUACAUAGCCGACCUGAGAGGGUGGUCGGCCACCUUGGGACUGAGACACGGCCCAAACUCCUACGGGAGGCAGCAGUAGGGAAUCUUCGGCAAUGGACGAAAGUCUGACCGAGCAACGCCGCGUGAGUGAAGAAGGUUUUCGGAUCGUAAAACUCUGUUGGUAGAGAAGAACGUUGGUGAGAGUGGAAAGCUCAUCAAGUGACGGUAACUACCCAGAAAGGGACGGCUAACUACGUG